rnacentral:rRNA from 1 species
AGCUUGCUUCUCUCUGACAAGCGGCGGACGGGUGAGUAAUGUAUGGGGAUCUGCCCGAUAUAGGGGGAUAACUACUGGAAACGGUGGCUAAUACCGCACAAUCUCUUACGAGCAAAGCAAGGGACCUUCUGGCCUUGCGCUGUCGGAUGAACCCAUAUGGGAUUAUCUAUUAUGUAAGGUAAUGGCUUACCUAGGCGACAAUCCCUAUCUGGUCUGAGAGGAUGAUCACCCACACUGGGACUGAGACACGGCCCACACUCCUACGGGAGGCAGCAGUGGGGAAUAUUGCACAAUGGGCGCAAGCCUGAUGCCCCAUGCCGCGUGUAUGAAAAGGCCCUUGGUUGUAAAGUACUUUCCUCGGGAGGAAGGCGUUGAUGUUAAUACCAUCUCGAUUGACGUUACCGACAAAAAACACCGGCUAACUCCUGCCCCCC